rnacentral:rRNA from 1 species
AUCGAACGCUGGCGGCAGGCUUAACACAUGCAAGUCGAGCGGAGAGAGGUAGCUUGCUACCGAUCUUAGCGGCGGACGGGUGAGUAAUGCUUAGGAAUCUGCCUAUUAGUGGGGGACAACAUUUCGAAAGGAAUGCUAAUACCGCAUACGUCCUACGGGAGAAAGCAGGGGACCUUCGGGCCUUGCGCUAAUAGAUGAGCCUAAGUCGGAUUAGCUAGUUGGUGGGGUAAAGGCCUACCAAGGCGACGAUCUGUAGCGGGUCUGAGAGGAUGAUCCGCCACACUGGGACUGAGACACGGCCCAGACUCCUACGGGAGGCAGCAGUGGGGAAUAUUGGACAAUGGGGGGAACCCUGAUCCAGCCAUGCCGCGUGUGUGAAGAAGGCCUUUUGGUUGUAAAGCACUUUAAGUGGGGAGGAGGCUCUCUUGGUUAAUACCUAAGAAGAGUGGACGUUACCCACAGAAUAAGCACCGGCUAACUCUGUGCCAGCCGCCGCGGUAAAAC